rnacentral:rRNA from 1 species
UACGGAGGGGGCUAGCGUUGUUCGGAAUUACUGGGCGUAAAGCGCACGUAGGCGGCUUUGUAAGUUAGAGGUGAAAGCCCGGGGCUCAACUCCGGAAUUGCCUUUAAGACUGCAUCGCUUGAAUUGUGGAGAGGUAAGUGGAAUUCCGAGUGUAGAGGUGAAAUUCGUAGAUAUUCGGAAGAACACCAGUGGCGAAGGCGACUACCUGGCCUGUUCUUGACGCUGAGGCGCGAAAGCUAGGGGAGCAAACGGG